ACUGCUUUCAUGCUUAAAAAACUUGUUUUCUAUUCAGCAUGCUGUAGCACAGAGCACUUCUUCUUUCUUUUUUGCUGUGACAGCAAAAAAUACCUCAAUGGUACUUUUUCUCCCUUGGAGUUAAUAUUCCAGCCCUGCAGCAGGGAACUGUCCCACCCCCGGUGGAAAGACCCUGCCCAACUGCGACAGGCGUGCUGCGAUUGUCAGCUUUAUCUCUGAGCCCAGGACAUUCCCAUUUACUGCUCUCACUGCAUUUUGGUGGGACAGAAUCCAGAUGCUGCAGCUGCAGUGGACCCUGGGGGACAUCCCUGUGCAUCACCGCUCCAGGGCAAGGGCAGCCUCGUCUCAGGUGUCACCUCAAGCAAAGCUCCAGUGACAUCCCCUAGCCAUCAGUCCUUGAGGUUCGUGGGUUUUUCCUCUUUCAUGUUGCUUCCAUAUACGGAGCAUCCAGCUGGCCAGUGUGGGAGCUUUAGACAAGCCUCCUCCUUCCAAAGCACUGAAUUCAGAGCAUCAGUUUGCGGCCCUUCCUAAAACUGCAGAUUUUUAACAGAUGUCUAGUUUCUUCUGCUUCAGGUAACUUGGGGGUUUUUGGAGUUUGCAGAGGGUUGAUUUGGAAGACGGGCACGUAGGCACCUCUCUGGCUGAAGGCAUCCUCCUCCACAGCUGUGGCACUGGCACUGGCGUGUUCUGCCUGCUCCUGUCCUGCACCAUCACUUCCCACUAACUUUUCCAAAGGUGGCAAAAACCAUUGAUCUUCAAUUGCCUGAGCAAAGUACAAAUCAAACUAAGCAAGGCACCAGUAAAUAGAAAAUCGAUUUCAGAUUUGUCUGCUUUGGGACCACUGGGUUUCAAUUCACACAGGGAAGGUCACCAGCCAUUGGGAGGGUGCAAUUACCCAUCAAGCAAAGGAGAUAUGAAGGAAAACUAUGGUUUGGAUGCUGCAAGUAGCAAUAUUUGGAAAAAGGAAGAUAGCACCAGAAGAGUUCCAACAGCUUUGUACUUGCAAGGUGAUGUGGCAAAGCACAGGUCCUCUGAUCCUGGGGGUCAAAAAGAAUCUGCCCAGCCAGGAGAUGAUCGCAGGGUCAGGAGCUAACAUCUGGCAGUGAGCAUGAGCCUCUGUCUCCAUGUAAGCUGCAAGCCCAAAAGCCACACUGCAUGUUAACAUGCAUGCUGGAGUCUGCUUUUCUAGGAACUACAGGACAAACAACAAGCAAUAAGAAACAUUUUACACAACUUAUUGCACUUAUAAUAGUAUGUGGCAUGAAAAACAGCCAGUUUAGUGAGUAGAUACAGGCAGUUAAGGAAGAGACAUACUUUCAUUUUAAUAUGCGCUCUUCUCAAGGUGAGUUAAUAGAGGCUUUUUGUAAUGACCUAAAUAAAACUUCAGUUUCUCAUGCUUGUAAGCACUCUGUAUUUUUUAUAAUUCAUUCAGGUUUGUUAUGGGGAAAUCAGCCAAGCCACAAAACCAAACACUUUGCAAUGCGUUCUCAUGUAAUUUCUGCACAAGCAGGAAGACGUUUUUACACUGUGAAAUGAAGCAAACUGGAAUAGCAGUAAUGAUUUGAUAAGAAUUUCCUAAGUAUUCUCCACCUUAUCUCUGCCAUUAGCUAAUUUGAGCCUGGACGGUUGCCAUGGAGAUCUGGCUAAGCAGGCAGCAUCGAUGCUCACGGAGACACUGAUAGAGGGAAGAGAGCAUAGGGGGGUGCAGGGUUUUUUUCUGUCUUCUGCUGCCAGCCUAUGUCUACACGUACAUUGUGGGUGUACCUGUGCCCUACUGGUAGAGGUUGGGUUGUUCUUACCCUCUGAUAUCCCAGAGGGCACAUCAUGAGUGUCCUGCCUGGUGUCUGGCUGUGAAUUUGUGAGACAGAGUAUCCUUGGCAUCAUCUGGGCUCCUUCAUGCUGCCUGGUGGAGGCAGUGGACUUCAUGGCAGGCACCCAUCACAGCGGCCUCGCUUUGCCUGGGUGGUUGUUCAGUACAUCACGUCAUCUGGGGGUUUCGCUCCUGAUCAGUCUGGAUUUUCUCCAUUUAGUGAAUCUCAUGCCAGUGGUCUCUUCUAAAGCUGUUUUGCAUGGUUUGCAUCCACAGAGCCACAGGUAUAUGCAUCUGUUGACCUAAUGGAAGUCAAGUCAUGCCACCCAAAGAACACCUUCUGGGGGAGGGCAUGCCUCUGAGCAGCAGAGCAUGAUCAGCAGGCAAAAACAUCUAGAGUAUGGUUUGCAACAAAAGGAAAGGAAAAAAAAAAAAAGAGAGGAAGAGUAAAACUCAAUCUGCAGUGUGGAAGGCAAGCUGGUAGAGCCCUGGCAGAACUUCAGAAGAUACUCCUACAUGGGGGUAUGGUCCAAAAGCUUCUCCUAAAGCUCAUGGAGAGAAGAUAAUUUUAUUUUGCAUGUGAAGGACACUGUGUGGUCUGAAGUAGGUGGAAUUGGUGGUACACUUGUGUCUAGCUGUUAGUGAUUGAGUAACACUGACCGAAUUUUCAUCAAGUUCAACUGUGUGCUGCAUGACGGUAGAAGUUUUCAUCUAGCAUCCCCAUAGAAAUUUUUCUAAAUAUGGAAGAUGAGCUAAGUGAAGCAGCUUGCUUUGAAAACCAACAAGAAAUGUUGGAUUUGGCCCAGGAAACGUUCCACAAGUCUCUGUUGACAAUUUUCCUGGUUUUAAUGGGUAGGAGGACUGCUAUAUAUCUAUCCAUCUAGUCCUCUGGCUCUGCAUGUCUUAGUCAAGAUAAAGCAAGGAGGACUGCUGGUAGCUGUGAUUAUGUUGGCCAUCUUGACACAGUUCUGGUAUCAAGACCUCCUCUACUUAUUGCAAAAUGUGCUUCCCUGGGAAAUGUAAUGCUACCCAGACCCUUGGUGUGGUUGAGGGCCAGCAGCAGGAGUCUCAGUCUGUUAUGGUUCAGUGGAUGGGAACUUGGUUUGUCCUUAUGUUCCUUAAAGGACUGGCUGCAUCAUUCUCUGCUGGGAAGGACCCCUUCCCAUGGUGGGGCUGGAACGUGGUAUCUGGUGGGAUCAUAAAAGCUUCCUGCUUUUAUGCAUUUAUGAAAGUGUCCCAUGACAAAUUCUUCAACCAGGAGAGACAGCAAAAGCCUUGAGGCAAUUCUGAAGGCCACUGCUGCAAAUGAAAUGAUAUGGCUUUUGAAAGACAGCUGAUGCCCAUGUGGACAUGGUGACAGCCACCAUAGCUGGCAGCCUAUAUGAGCUGCUGUGGGACAGCAUAGAUGGGAUUCAUUAGCAACAAGGAUGUACUCAAGCUACAUGAACAGCUUCUCUGAGGAUGACUUUCGUAGAUGAUCUCUGCUCAACCUCCAUCUCUCUAUAUGGUGCUUGGUCUUCCGUGGUCACUGCAUGGACAACAGCAAGUGAUGGUGAACACUUACUGCUGGGUCCUCCUCACUGAACACGUGCAUGGAAUAGCGCUUGAAGAUGGGAAGUUUCUGGUAGGCAGCUCCGUUCAGCACUGAGCUGGUCUGACAGACUGCCUGGCCCACUGGCUUUGCACUGGCUGUUGGUGCUGAGCUGGAGGGAGGGUGGCAGUCCUGUGGGCUUGCAAAAGAGUUACAAAGGGGAAACUGGGGCAUCAGUGUCAACACGACUUAUCAAAACGGUAGUGCAAGGGCUCCUAGGUGAAAUGUCUGUAUCUGCUCAUGGUGACUGACCAUGUUGUGAUGACACUAACCAAGAAAGAAACAUUAAAUAGUUCCUAAAUGGGGUUGUUUAGUCUGAAGAAGAGGAUGCUCAGGGGAGAUCUACUAAUACCUGACAGGGGCUGUAGGCAGUUGGGGUCGGUCUCUUCUCCCAGAUAACUAGUGACAGGACAAGAGGAAAUGGCCUCAGGUUACCUCAGUGGAGGUUUAGGGUGGAUAUUAAGAAAAAUGUCUUCACUGCAAGGGUGGUCAAGCACCGGCACAGGCUGCCCAGGGAGGGGGCUGAGUCACCAUCCCUGGGGCUAUUUAAAAAAUGUAGAUGCAGUGCUUAGGGACAUGGAUUUGUGGUGGGCUUGGCAAUGCUGGGUUAAUGGUUGGACUUGAUGAUUUUAAAGGUCUUUUCCAACCUAAAUAAUUCUAUGAUUCUAAAUAUAAUUUAAAGCCAUAUCAGCAAAUCAGUUCUCACUAAGGAGAAAUCUUCUGUUUACUAGAACCGGAACAUAGUGAGUAUAUUCU